rnacentral:tRNA from 1 species
UGUUGCGUGUCCGGUAGGUCGAGGGUGCAGUCUUGAAAACUGUCUGGGUGUAAAAGCCUCUGGGGUUCGAAUCCCUAACGCAACGUCC